GCACCUGCAGCAUAUGGAAAUUCCCAGGCUAGGGGUCAAAUCGGAGCUGCAUCUGCUGGCUUACACCACAGCCACAGCAACAUGGGUUCCAAGCCACGUCUGUGACCUACACCACAGCUCUCGGAAACGUGGGCUCCUUAACCCACUGAGCAAGGCCAGGGAUCAAACCCGCAGCUUCAUGGAUGCUAGUGGGGUUUGUAACCCACCAAGCCACAACAGGAACACCACAGAUCUGUUCUUAUUUAUGAACUUUCCAAGUUUCUGCACUGGUAGUUGUCAUGGGUUUCUGUUACAGCAUCAGUCAAUUCUCCGUUAGUAAAAUCUGCAAAGAAGCAACAUCCUUGUCUUAAUUAGGCAAAAUAUAUUAAUCUUGCCACUGACAAAACUAAUAUACAGUUAAUCACUGCAUAAAAGUUGAUGAAGAUAUUUUAUCUCAUUCUGCUAUAUAAUUAAGAAUUUUGCUUUGACAUACAUAAAAUGUAUACCCAUUAGAGUAUAAGCUAAGAGUUUUAAGAUGUUAGAUUGUUUGACAUGUGCAAGUUAGAUUAAAAUGCCCUGCUAUUUUGUAUGGGUUUUAUUAUAAAAUUAGAGCAUUUUUAGAACUAAAAGAGGUCGUUAUUAAAAUAAAAAUAAUAUUGCAUAAUCAAUUUUCACCUAUAUAAUAAUGCAGACACUUGUCCAAUUAAUUGUGUAAUGCUUGGAAAAAAAAUCUGUAUUCAUUCCAAAUGAGAAAAUAAAAUGAAACAUUUUAUAGUUAUAAUUUACUGAAUAUAUUUUCAAGUGUCUUUGUACUUAAUAAAUCAGUUGAUUCUAAUCAGUCUGUAAACUCACUAAAGCAUAAGAAUAUAUACCACCACCAUUUGGCAAAUAAAACAUAUGAGGCUCAGAAAUGUUAGGGACACUUUCAAUUUCCCAAAGCAAAUAACUGCCAGAAUUUAGAUCAGAAGUCAGACCCCAUGAAUUUUAAACUUUAAAAUAUACUCACCUAUGUCCCUAUUUAAUAUAACUUGUGGGGUUCUCUUAACCAUCAUUUGCUGAAAUUUGGAGUAUUUAUUUUAUUUUAUUUAUUUAUUUAUUUGCUUUUUAAGGCUGCACCCAUAGCUCAUGGAGGUUCCCAGGCUAGGGGUCGAAUAGGAGCUGUAGCUGCCGGCCUGCACCACAGCCACAGCAACUCCAGAUCCCAGCCACAUCUGCAACCUACACCACAGCUCAUGGCAACGCCAGAUCCUUAACCCACUGAGCGAGGUCAGGGAUCAAACCUGCAAUCUCAUGGUUACUAGACAGAUUUGUUUCCACUGAGAAAUUUGGAGUUAUUUUAAAGCAGAGUAGGUCUAGACCCAUGUGGCUAACCCUGUUGGCUGUCUAUCCAAUAUCCACCCUCUUUUGUUUGUAUCAAUAUUAUUAUGCAAAUUUUAUUUGAGGUGGUGAUAAACUCACAUUAAAAAUUCAGUUUUGAACGCUCUCUCGAAAACAGUGGUGGUCUUGUGAGAGAGUGACAUAGUUAUGGCAAAUGAGGUGUUAAUGAACAUGUGCUGAGAAGGACUCGUACGAAUAUUAUUAUCUUCCUUAUAAACAGAGAAUAAUCAUACUCAACGUGCUCUACACUUUGGGUUUUUUUAUCCUUUCUGCCUAGAAUACAGAUUUAAUGCAUGGGGAGCAACAACUGUCUUUUGACAAGCUAUAUCAACCUUUGUCUGUCAGCUUCUGGAUUUCAUGUUAAGACAGAAAUAAACUCCUUACUGGUUUAAGCCGCUAAAGUUAGAUUUAUCUUACUUACAAAAAAAAAUCCAAGUAUUUUUAAUCUCAGGAAAAUUAUAUUCUAAUAACUCUUUUUAUUAUUUCUUUCUUCCUUUACUUCUGUACAUGUUCAUUCAGGAAACAUUAAACAAUUAUAUUUUAACAUGUACACUGUGUGAGACAUUGUCCUAUAAUUUGGAUGCGACUUUGAACAGAACAAGAUUUCUAGCUUCAUAGAGCUUACUUUCUAAUAGAAUACGAAGACCACAAAUAAGUGAAAAAUGAUCAUGUAAUUUCCAAUCAUAUUCAUAAGCAUGAAGAUAAUACAAAAGGGCAAAAUAUCUAACAAUGAUGGUGGGGCAAGUUAAAUAAGGCAGCAAGAAGAAGAGAUAUAUUUGAAAUAGAAAGACAUCUCAGAGGGGGACUAUCUAAGCAAAGUCCUGACAAAUGAAGAGCAAUAAGACUGGACGAGGAAAUAAAAUACAAAGAAUAGCACACAUAGAGUCUUUGAAGCAUGGGCAAACUUAGUAUAUCUGAAGAAUAACAAAAUUCACUGUUGUUAGAUAUUAGUAAGAAAAAUCAUGGAAAAGACAGGGAAGAAGGGUUGAGCUAGUCACAUAUGCCUUACAUCUUCUUGGCUGGAAAGAAAAAUAAGGCAGGAACAAAAGAGUCAGUGAGUUCCAAAGGAGGUUCAUUUUGAGCAUGUCGUCAGAGAAAUACUCAUGGAAAUGUCUUUGGGCUGAGAUGGAAGUAAGGUAAGACAGCAAACCACUUGGAAAUCCGGGAGAAGUAUGUUCCAGGAAGUAGGAACAGCAAAGACUCUGAGAUAGAUUUUUUUUUUUUUAAUGCAUUCAAGGAGUCACAAGGAGAUUAUUACAGUUGGAGUGAAAUAAGGAUUGGGGAAAGUAGAAGAGAUCACAGAGGAAUCAGGGAGCCAGCCAGAGGUCGUUAAAGCACUUCAGCUUUUACACUAAAAGAGAUGGGACCCCACUAGAGAGUUUUUAACAUAAGAGUGCCAUGCUUUUAAGUUUUUAAAGAAGCAUUCUGGAUGCUGGUUUGAGAAUAGACUGUAGAGGUCAAGGUAACAGCAAAAAAAAAACAAAAAACAAAAAACAGUUAGAAGGGUUUUGCAAUAAGCCAGGGCUUAAUAAUCCCAUAGAUCUAUUUACCGAGUCUAUAAUUUAUUAACUUAACUGGCUUAUUCUGAUUUAUGGGAUAUUUUUAUGUGACUUCAAAUUAAUUAAUUCAGUAUGUCUAGAAAUAUCUAACCUGUUACAUACUGCUUCUAUUAAAAAUCAAACUCUUAUAUACUUCUCUAAAGUAAAGUACUUAAAUUCUUUAUUCUUUGCUUUUUAUUACAGUUCUUUCCUAGAUAUUAUCUUAUUUAGGUAGAAAGGAUUUGGUUAGAAAUAAUUUGGUAGAAAUCAAGAAGCAGCAAUGUAGUUAAAGUGACUUUAUGAUUUUGAUAAGGUGUGGAAUAAUUUUACAUUUUAAGUGUUUUACAGAUCUUUUACUAGGAUAGUAAACCAUUCAAUAUUAUUUUUGCAGAAUUUUUUCAGGUACUAUCUACUUCAGACAACUUCUCCCAAGUAGUCAAAAUGUUGAAAGAAUGCUAUUUUUUUUUUAAAGAGAACUUUGAAGAAAUUAUAUUGCUAUUUUAAUCAUUUUGUGUAGAAAACAAUACUUGAAACCUUCUCUAUGAAUAGGAACCUCUUAAAACUCUUUAAGUGAAAAAAGCAUCCUAUAAAAGGUAACUUUUAGUUUACAUUUUCUUAGCACACUUGUGUUGCAAUAUGGAGGAAUAUUUCUCUGUGUUCAUCUUUGCUCUUAGGAGUAUAAGCUAGCUGCGUGUUGGGCUGAGUGUUGUGGUAUAACAUCACUGAGCUGCAGCUGGACAAAUCCAAAGAGCUAAAAAUCUCAUCUUUUUUGGUUCUAUCUUAGAUUCAACAGCAGAUGUCAUAUGGAGGAAAAAUAAAGUGAAGAAAAGAUCCACACAGGGAAUCAAAGGAUCAUACACAGUCAACACGGUGAGUUUUCUCACUAAUGAAGCCAUGGUUGCAGUAACCUUCCACUGCUCUUAACAAGGUGGAAGAAAGUCUGCUUCACACUUUACCAUAUAGCUUUUAUUUUUCUCAGUAGGUUCAUUUCGUUACGGCACACAGAAAAUAGAUUUUUCACUCUCAAGUGUGCCCUAUACGACUUCGUACAUGAGGAAUGUUGUAGUCUAUAAGUUUGGGGAAAAUAUUUUAUAAAACCUUUUGAAAUAAUCUAGGACAAAUAUAAAGAACUUCUGGAUCCACAAUUUUUUGAAUUAUGAUUAAUUCAGAUAUUUAAUGGAAAGGAUCACUGUAACAUUCCUAAGACAGUUUGUAUUCUCUGUAAUAUUCCCAAGAAAGUCUCUGUUGAUGUACCUCAUGAUAGAACAAAAGUAAAGAUGGAUACUUUACAAUUUAAUAUAAUUGUAUUAAAUGCAAUUUUCUUUGAGAUUUGCCAAUUCAUAUGUCCUCCUAGAAGAAAAUAUGGCAUUGGGGCAGUAUUAUAUCUAUCUUUAUCCCACUUGCCUGUCAUAGAAACACUAUGUGCAUUUCAAGCUCCUGUUCGGCAUAUUGCAAAUAUUCAGUAAUGAAAAUAUUUAAAUUAGUUGUCCAUAGCUAUAAAAUGAAAAAAAAAUUAAAUAUUCUGACAGUGCCUUAGACCUUACUCAUUCUUUUAUGAGUAAACUGACUACUUAAAUUCCCUUCCCAAAUGAAUUAGGACUUUUUGGUUGCUACUGACUAAAAUCUCAACUCAAACUUUAUUGUAGAAAUUAAACAUCAGACAAUUUAGUUCAUGUAAAUUUAGAAAAAUUCAGAGUUAGUGCUGGUUUUAGUCUUUGCCUAAUUUGGUAUGAGAUGAAACAAUGUCAAAAAGACCUGGCUUUGUCUAUAUCUUGAUCAACAUCUAUUUUCUUCCUUAUAUUUGGCUUAAUUCUCAUUAUAAAGUGGCUAUGCUCUACAUUCAAGUAGGCAAAGGAAAAAAAAUCUGCUUCCCAUAACCUCAACAAUUAUUCAUAAACACAGUUCCAUUACCUCUGACUGAUCAGGUGCCCAUCCUUGAGACAAUCAUUACUGCCAAGGCAAUAAGACACUGUGCCUGAGUCACACAUCUUCUCAGAAGCUAAGGAUGGAGUCUGUUUCAUAGUAAUUCUAGAAACUAGGAAGAGAAAAGAAAUAUCUUUUCAAAAGCAGAAUUGAGCUAUUGAUGGAAGGAGGGAGAAAUUCCCCAUGUGUCCUAAACUGCAAUUCAGUCAUUUAUUAAUUUAUCACCAUUAUCUCAUAUUAGUUUAUAUUUCAAAAACUGUACUUUUAUAUGCAUUGGCUUAUUUCUGCCAUUCCUAAAUUUAUGCCUAAUAAAAUUAUAAUUCAUAUAUUUCCCUUGAGGAUUGUUCCUUGGCAAUAUAUAUCAACAUUCAAAAUAAACUCAGCAAAUAUUUAAAAGUUGAAUGGACAGAGUCCACUGGCCAUCAUAGAAGGGUUGUUUGCUUGGCAGGGAAAUUACGUUAUACUGGACUUUCCUUUGUACUAAUUAAUUAGCUGAUUUUAUCAUAACUCUAAAUAAAAUGUCACAUCUAGAAAGUACACAUGCUGGCCUGUAGUGAUUAUUAACUUGGAUUGAAGGCUUCAACAGCAUCAACAAUGCAGCAGUUCAGAGAUCAGAAUCGUUUGAUUCCCCAGAGAUCGGAAUCUCCCGAUUUAAGUGUGGUCAGAAGCCAUAAUAAGCCUAUAUGGAAGAAUGAAAAUUACAUUAUGAAUUUUCUACAAUUUUCUUAUUGAUUAUAUGGGAUUCACUCUUAUUAGGGGCCUUACAAGAAAGGAAAGGAGGCUUUGGGAGUGUCUUGUCCAGUAAUACUUUUCAUACCCACUGAAGAGUGGUCAAUUCAUUUGAAUCAGUUCCAAACAUUAUUCCUUUUUAGUCAGAGCAGGAGGGUCUUAUUUUGAUAUGAAUAUGACUAAAAUUGUGAUAUAUUUUAACUUUUAAAACAAUCAGGAAACAUUUAAAAUUAAUGUUAUAAUUUAUUAAUUGAUUUUUUCUUUUCUUUCUUUCUUUCUCUCCCUCUCUCUCUCUCUCUCUCUCUCUGUCUAAGGCCAUCCAUAUGGUAUAUGGAAGUUCCUGGGCUAGAGGACAAACUGCAGUUGCAUUUUCCAGCCUACACCACAGCCACAGCAAACACCUAGAUCUGAGCCGCAUCUGCGACCUACGCUGCAGCUUGCAGCAAUGUCAGAUUCUUAACUCAUUGAGUGAGGCUAGUGAUUAAACCUGAAUCCUCACAGACAUGGUGUUGAGUUCUUAACCCACAGAGCCACAACAGGAACUCUAUUAAUUGGUAAUUAUUUAUGAAAAUAGAAGAACAGAAAUGAAUACAAGAAGAAUCUCAAAACCAUUACUUUCAAAAUCAUGUCCCUACAUAUGGGGUUUGCUUGUGAGAAACUUGAAAUAAUAAAUACAGUUACAGAGUCCAUAGAAAAAUGUAUUGAAAAUAAUAUCAUGAUCUUUGAGAAAACCGUCUUCACACCAAAUUGCUAUAGUUAUUUUUUAAGGUGAAAGUAAAGUUUUUCAUCAAUAGUUUAAAAAUAUUCAGAGCAAAUUAAUGAAAAUACAGUUGGUUAACUUCCUAUUUGUAUUAAGCUUUCAAUUAAUUUAUUUUCUUUUAUUUAUUUAUUUAUUUGUCUUUUGUCUUUUUAGCGCCAGAUCCUUAACCCAUUGAGCGAGGCCAGGGAUCGAACCCGCAACCUCAUGGUUCCUAGUCCUAGUCAGAUUCGUUUCCACUGUGCCACGAUGGGAACUCCCUAUUUUCUUAUGUAUAAGUUUCUUAAUUUUAUGAAAAGUUUUAGACUAAGAUUCAAAACAUUUUUAGCUGAUACUUAUUUUAUUUAGGGCAAAAUUAUGAAACAUUUCACUGAAUUUCUCUUUUACAAAUACUCUUUGUUAUUUGAUAUUAUGACAAUUUCUGCCUAUCUAGACUUUUAUAGAUGUGUUAGACAUAUUUAUCGCAUCUUGAUGCUUUUACUAUAAAACUAUACUUUCAACAACAUGGGUCAAAUUUCCCAAAAUUCUCACAUUCAAAAUAAAUAAUUAAAUGCUUUUUUUUUUUUUUAAAGGCUGCACCUGCAGCAUAUGGAAGUUCCCAGGCUAAGGAUCAAAUCGGAGCUGUAGCCACUGGCCUAUGCCACAGCCAUGGCAAUGUGGGAUCUGAGCUGCAUCGGUGACCUACAUCACAGCUCAGGGCAAUGCCAGAUCCUUAACCCGUUGAGCAAAGCCAGGGAUUGAACCCAUGUGCUCAUGGAUACUAGCUGAGUCCAUUACUGCUGAGCCACAACAGGAACUCCCUA
rnacentral:lncRNA from 1 species